ensembl:snRNA U6 U6 spliceosomal RNA
UGCUUGCUUCAGCAGGUCAUAUACUAAAAUAAGAGCUAUACAAAGAUUAGCAUGGCCCCUGUGCAAGAAUGACACACACAUUUGUGAAACAUUCCAUAUAUUA